CGCGAUUCGCCCUUCGGGGUGCACCAGGCGCGAAAACUUUACAAUGCCGGCAACGGCGAUAAGGGGACCUCGAGUGCCAGGUUACAAAUCUGGCUGUCGUGAUGCCUAAAAAGCAUUGCAUAGCAAGGGCCGGGCAAGACCGGUGCCAGCCGCCGCGGUAACACCGGCGGCUCGAGUGGUAACCGUUAUUAUUGGGUCUAAAGGGUCUGUAGCCGGCCGGAUAAGUCUCUUGGGAAAUCCAGCAGCUCAACUGUUGGGCUUUCAGGAGAUACUGUCUGGCUCGAGGCCGGGAGAGGUGAGAGGUACUUCAGGGGUAGGGGUGAAAUCUUGUAAUCCUUGAAGGACCACCAGUGGCGAAGGCGUCUCACCAGAACGGACCUGACGGCAAGGGACGAAAGCUAGGGGCACGAACCGGAUUAGAUACCCGGGUAGUCCUAGCCGUAAACGAUACUCGCUAGGUGUCGGCCACGGUGCGACCGUUGUCGGUGCCGUAGGGAAGCCGUGAAGCGAGCCACCUGGGAAGUACGGCCGCAAGGCUGAAACUUAAAGGAAUUGGCGGGGGAGCAC
rnacentral:rRNA from 1 species